AAUCAACGCUGGCGGCGUGCCUAACACAUGCAAGUCGCACGAGAAAGGGGCUUCGGCCCUGAGUAAAGUGGCGCACGGGUGAGUAACACGUGAAUCAUCUACCUCCGAAUGGGGAAUAACUGAGAGAAAUCUUAGCUAAUACCGCAUAAUACCUAAGGGUCAAAGCAGCAAUGCGUUUGGAGAGGAGUUCGCGGUCGAUUAGUUAGUUGACGGGGUAAUGGCCCACCAAGACGAUGAUCGAUAUCCGGCCUGAGAGGGCGCACGGACACACUGGAACUGAAACACGGUCCAGACUCCUACGGGAGGCAGCAGUGGGGAAUUUUGCGCAAUGGGGGAAACCCUGACGCAGCAACGCCGCGUGGAGGAUGAAAUAUCUUGGUAUGUAAACUCCUUUCGAUGGGGAAGAUAAUGACGGUACCCAUAGAAGAAGCCCCGGCUAACUUCGUGCCAGCAGCCGCGGUAAUACGAGGGGGGCAAGCGUUGUUCGGAAUUAUUGGGCGUAAAGGGUGCGUAGGCGGUUUGACAAGUCUUAUGUGAAAUCUUCGGGCUCAACCCGAAGUCUGCAUAGGAAACUGUCG
rnacentral:rRNA from 1 species